GCCGAGAUCAGGCCCAGGAAGCUGCGAGCCUAAUCUGAGAGAAUAGUGUAGCUGAGGUCAGAGUAAAUCACACCCAAAUCCCAUCUGCACAGUUAGUGCCUUCUUAGCAUGAAGGACGGUGCUCUAAUAACAGCCAUAUAUUGUCUCGCUUCUAAUCUGAAAAUGCUUUCGCUCUCCUCUUCAAGCCUUGCCUCCGUGGGUUUCCGCGAUGCACUGUAAAAUAACAAGAACCCAAACAAGAAAAAGCCCAGCUCUGGGCAUCUCCAGACACCCUGCCCCCUGGAGAUGGACCUCCGCUCUUCGUGUUCACAGAUUCCUUCAUAGUCACAGGAAACACAGGGACUACACCACUGCCACUGUCCU